ACGAACGCUGGCGGCGUGCCUAAUACAUGCAAGUCGAACGGUCUUUCUAUGGAAGCUUGCUUCCACUGAGAAGAUAGUGGCGAACGGGUGAGUAACACGUGGGUAACCUGCCCAUAAGAGGGGGAUAACAUCCGGAAACGGGUGCUAAUACCGCAUAGUUUUCUUGAUCGCAUGAUUGAGAAAGGAAAGACGGCCUUUGUGCUGUCGCUUAUGGAUGGACCCGCGGCGUAUUAGUUAGUUGGUGAGGUAACGGCUCACCAAGACGAUGAUACGUAGCCGACCUGAGAGGGUGAUCGGCCACAUUGGGACUGAGACACGGCCCAAACUCCUACGGGAGGCAGCAGUAGGGAAUCUUCCGCAAUGGACGAAAGUCUGACGGAGCAACGCCGCGUGAGUGAAGAAAGGUUUUCGGAUCGUAAAACUCUGUUGUCAGAGAAGAACAAGUUGGAGAGUAACUGCUCCAGCCUUGACGGUAUCUGACCAGAAAGCCACGGCUAACUACGUGCCAGCCGCGGC
rnacentral:rRNA from 1 species